CAGCUUUGGCAGCCCAUAUGCUAAAACUGGAAUGAUACAGAGAAGAUUAGCAUGGCCCCUAAACAAGGGUGCUAUGAAAACUGAUGUUGAAAAUUUUA
ensembl:snRNA U6 U6 spliceosomal RNA